rnacentral:rRNA from 1 species
AUUGAACGCUGGCGGCAGGCCUAACACAUGCAAGUCGAGCGGUAACAGGAAAUAGCUUGCUAUUUUGCUGACGAGCGGCGGACGGGUGAGUAACGCGUAGGAAUUUGCCCAGUAGUGGGGGAUAGCCCGGAGAAAUUCGGAUUAAUACCGCAUACGCCCUAAGGGGGAAAGCAGGGGAUCUUCGGACCUUGCGCUAUUGGAUAAGCCUGCGUGAGAUUAGCUAGUUGGUGAGGUAAGGGCUCACCAAGGCGACGAUCUCUAGCUGGUCUGAGAGGAUGAUCAGCCACACUGGAACUGAGACACGGUCCAGACUCCUACGGGAGGCAGCAGUGGGGAAUAUUGCACAAUGGGCGAAAGCCUGAUGCAGCCAUGCCGCGUGUGUGAAGAAGGCUCUAGGGUUGUAAAGCACUUUCAGUAGGGAGGAAAAGUCGAUAGUUAAUACCUAUCGGCCGUGACGUUACCUACAGAAGAAGCACCGGCUAACUCCGU